rnacentral:rRNA from 1 species
GAUCGAGUUUGAUCCUGGCUCAGAUUGAACGCUGGCGGCAUGUCUUACACAUGCAAGUCGAACGGUAACGGGUUAAGCCGACGAGUGGCGAACGGGUGAGUAAUAUAUCGGAACGUGCCCAGUCGUGGGGGAUAACGUAGAGAAAUUUACGCUAAUACCGCAUACGAUCUAAGGAUGAAAGCGGGGGUAUCGCAAGACCUCGCGCGAUUGGAGCGGCCGAUAUCAGAUUAGGUAGUUGGUGAGG